rnacentral:rRNA from 1 species
ACGUACCCCCAGGGCGAGGAUAGCCACGGGAAACUGUGGGUAAUACUCGAUAACCUUCCCGAUCAUGAUCGAAUGGGAAGCAAUGGGUGUGAUUCCACCUGGGGAGCGGCUUACGCAGUAUCAGCUAGUUGGUGAGGUAACGGCUCACCAAGGCUUUGACGCUUAGGGGGUGUGAGAGCAUGGCCCCCACCACUGGCACUGAGACACUGGCCAGACACCUACGGGUGGCUGCAGUCGAGAAUCUUCGGCAAUGGACGAAAGUCUGACCGAGCGACGCCGCGUGCGGGAUGAAGGUCUUCGGAUUGUAAACCGCUGUCAGAGGGGAUGAAGUGUACGAGAGCUAUCUCUUGUAUUUGACAGAGCCUCAGAGGAAGCACGGGCUAAGUUCGUGCCAGCAGCCGCGGUAAUACGAACUGUGCGAACGUUAUUCGGAAUCACUGGGCUUAAAGGGUGCGUAGGCGGUUUUCUAAGUCACGUGUGAAAUCUUCCGGCUCAACCGGAAAACUGCGCGUGAUACUGGAGAACUUGAGUGAGGUAGGGGUGUGUGGAACUUCCGGUGGAGCGGUGAAAUGUGUAGAGAUCGGAAGGAACGCCAGCAGCGAAAGCGGCACACUGGGCCUUUUCUGACGCUGAGGCACGAAAGCUAGGGGAGUGAACGGGAUUAGAUACCCCGGUAAUCCUAGCCGUAAACACUGAACACUGGAGGAAGGGGGCUUCGGCCUUCUUUCUCGUAGCGAAAGCGUUAAGUGUUCCGCCUGGGGAGUAUGGUCGCAAGGCUGAAACUCAAAGGAAUUGACGGGGGCUCACAC